AAAAAAAUAGUUUAAAUUAAAACAUAUAGUUUGAAACUAUAAAAUUCUAUUAAUAAUGAUUUUUUUG
rnacentral:tRNA from 1 species